rnacentral:rRNA from 1 species
UUCUGACCGUAAACGAUGCCAACUAUCGAUCCGCCGGGGGACACAAACGCCCUGGUGGGGAGCUUCCCGGAAACGAAAGUCUUCCGGUUCCGGGGGAAGUAUCGUUGCAAAGCAAAAACUUAGAGGAAUUGACGGAAGGGCACCACCAGGAGUGGCGCCUGCGGCUUAAUUUGACUCAACACGGGAAAACUCACCCGGCCCGGACACUGUCAGGAUUGACAGAUUGAUAGCUCUUUCAUGAUUCGGUGGAUGGUGGUGCAUGGCCGUUCUUAGUUCGUGGAGCGAUUUGUCUGGUUUAUUCCGAUAACGAGCGACACUCCCGCCUACUAACUAGUGCUCAUAUUGCACUGCUGUAUGCGCUCACUUCUUAGAGGGAUCGGUGGCGUCGCAGCCACACGAAACGGAGCAAUAACAGGUCUGUGAUGCCCUUAGAUGUCCGGGGCUGCACGCGCGCUACACUGGCGAAAUCAGCGUUCCUGUCCUCUCGCGAAAGCUACUGGUAAACCGGUGAAAAUUGUCCGUGCUUGGGAUCGGAAAUUGCAAUUAUUUAUCCGUGAACAAGGAAUUCCAAGUAGGUGCGAGUCAUCAACUCGCGCUG